rnacentral:rRNA from 1 species
GAUGAACGCUGGCGGCGUGCCUAAUACAUGCAAGUCGAGCGAAUGGAUUAAGAGCUUGCUCUUAUGAGGUUAGCGGCGGACGGGUGAGUAACACGUGGGUAACCUGCCCAUAAGACUGGGAUAACUCCGGGAAACCGGGGCUAAUACCGGAUAACAUUUUGAACCGCAUGGUUCGAAAUUGAAAGGCGGCUUCGGCUGUCACUUAUGGAUGGACCCGCGUCGCAUGAGCUAGUUGGUGGGGUAACGGCUCACCAAGGCAACGAUGCGUAGCCGACCUGAGAGGGUGAUCGGCCACACGGGGACUGAGACACGGCCCAGACUCCUACGGGAGGCAGCAGUAGGGAAUCUUCCGCAAUGGACGAAAGUCUGACGGAGCAACGCCGCGUGAGUGAUGAAGGCUUUCGGGUCGUAAAACUCUGUUGUUAGGGAAGAACAAGUGCUAGUUGAAUAAGCUGACACCUUGACGGUACCUAACCAGAAAGCCACGGCUAACUACGUGCCAGCAGCCGCCGUAA